UUACCUACGGGGCGCAGCAGUGAGGAAUAUUGGUCAAUGGACGCAAGUCUGAACCAGCCAUGCCGCGUGCAGGAAGACGGCUCUAUGAGUUGUAAACUGCUUUUGUACGAGGGUAAACGCAGAUACGUGUAUCUGUCUGAAAGUAUCGUACGAAUAAGGAUCGGCUAACUCCGUGCCAGCAGCCGCGGUAGUACGGAGGAUUCAAGCGUUAUCCGGAUUUAUUGGGUUUAAAGGGUGCGUAGGCGGUCGGAUAAGCUAGAGGUGAAUUCCCGAGGCUCAAGUUCGGGAUUGCCUCUGAUACUGAU
rnacentral:rRNA from 1 species